ACGUGAUUUGAAGCCAGCUAGUAGUGAAUCAUCUGAAAUUUUCGAAGAUAAAGAUACCAGCUUCCUCUCAAUGAUAUAAAUUAUAUAGACCUCCAACAAGAAAUUGCCUAAGAAGUUACUUUCCACCCCGAGGAAGGUAAUCCUGAUAAGGAAAGCCACCUAAUCAGCCAGUCCACACAAACACCAACUUCAUUCAGAUUAUUUUCCAAUGAUGAAUUUCUAAUGAACAAAAAAUCUGUUCUUUAUUAUACAGGUCUCUCUUGAGGGAUAUUCUCGAAAUUAAAAUGUCUAUCAUAA